rnacentral:rRNA from 1 species
UACGAGGGGUGCAAACGUUAUUCGGAUUUACUGGGUGUAAAGGGUGUGUAGACGGUGUAUUAAGUUCGUUGUUAAAUCUUCCGGCCUAACUGGAAGCCUGCGAUGAAAACUAAUACGCUUGAGGAUGGAAGAGAGAAGUGGAAUUCUCGGAGUAGCGGUAAAAUGCGUAGAUCUCGAGAGGAACACCGAUGGCGAAGGCAGCUUCUUGGUCCAUUCCUGACGUUGAGACACGAAAGCGUGGGGAGCAAACAGG